rnacentral:rRNA from 1 species
UACAGAGGGUGCAAGCGUUAAUCGGAAUUACUGGGCGUAAAGCGUGCGUAGACGGUUACAUAAGUCGGGUGUGAAAGCCCCGGGCUCAACCUGGGAAUUGCAUUCGAGACUGCGUAGCUAGGGUGCGGAAGAGGGAAGCGGAAUUUCCGGUGUAGCGGUGAAAUGCGUAGAUAUCGGAAGGAACACCAGUGGCGAAAGCGGCUUCCUGGUCCAGCACCGACGUUCAGGCACGAAAGCGUGGGUAGCAAACAGG